UUAUUUUUAGCUGAAUUGUUCUAAUUUUGAAAAUUUGUUAUUAAACGGUGCGUUUUAGACUGCUGUGGCUGUGGUUGGGGACGAAGAGCUUCAUCUAGUGGCGAUGCCGAGUAAGCGGAAGAAGUUUCCGUGUUUUUGGUGUUAUGCUGUUCCGGUGAGACUUUAUGAUGCGUGCAUGGGGAUGUUGAAUUUGAGGUGUCUUGCGAUUGUGUUCGAUUUAGAUGAGACUUUGAUUGUUGCAAACACGAUGAAGUCGUUUGAAGAUAGGAUUGAGGCUUUGCGGAGUUGGCUUUCCAGGGAGAGUGAUCCAUCAAGGGUGCAGGGUAUGUCUGCUGAGCUCAAGCGUUACUUGGAGGAUAGGUUGCUGUUGAAGCAAUUCAUUGAGACUAAUUCCGUAGUUGAUAGUAAUGGAAAGCUGUAUCAGGUUCAGAUGGAGGAAGUGCCAUCUUUGACUGAACAGAAAGUCCUUCGCCCUGUUGUUAGGGUUCAAGAUAGGAAUAUUGUCCUUACUCGAAUCAAUCCCGAGGUUUAUAUUUCUAGUCUCUCUAAAGAAAAUUGUGUAUUCUGGUUAAUGGUUUUGAUUGAUGGAUGGAGUGUGAGUGGUGGUAAUUGGAGAUUGCUUGUUAACUAUUUAAGAUUGGGAGUAGAUAAAUUAUUAAAACUUAGUAUCGGUUCGUCUGAUAGAUUGUUAGGACUUAGAAUAUUGACACCAACCCAUCAACACUAAUAAUUUGAGAAAAUGCAAGUAAUUUAAUGUAACCACACGUGUCGAUGUUGUAUUGGUUUCAGACACUAGACACGUCUUUGAUCCGAAGUAAGCGUGAGUACUAAAUAGGUAAUGUUUAAUGACAAGAAAUGAAAAUAGAACUAGGUACUUGAGUCAAAUUAUCUAGAAUACAUUUUUUUCCCCGCAAAUACCCCCUUUCUUUAAUGUUAAUUCAUACUUACAAAUGGUUAUAUUUGAUCCAAAUGGCCAGAUUUCGAACUUGAGACUAAGUCUUUCUUCCCCCACCCCAAACACAAGAAGAAAAACCCUGUUCUUUUAAGGCUCCUCUUGCACUUGUUUUAGGGUCCAAGACCCAAUGCUGUCAAUUGCAAUAGCAUAUUGUUAAAAUUCCACUAUGCAAUAGUUUUAUAGCGCCACUAUAUAGCGGCUAUAAUAUUUUGUACUAAAUAACAUCGCGGAACAAUAGUGAUUUGUUCAAAAUCUGCGACGCUAUAGCGGCUAUUUAACAAUACCAAUAAGAUCAAUAUCAAUAUAGUCCUCUUUUCGGCAUCUUGUCUUUAGGAUGAUUGGGCAUUUAAGAGCUUUGACUUGUUUAUUUACUAUUGUAAUAUUUGCUUGUACGACGUUUUGACAUGUAGUAUCUUCAUAUGUGCUCAAAAUUAUUAAUGCCAUUGCUGCAAGAUAAAAGGACUAAUGUUAGUAUUUUUUGGAAUGAUAAAUGUCAGAAAGUUAGUAUUUAUGUUGUGGGUGGGAUCUACGGCAUUAGUUCUUAAUGAAUGUAUAUGCGAACAUAUUUACUUGGGUGGCCAUUUUUCAAAUCAUAUUCAUUUUAUUUAUUUUUCCAGUUGCUUAGCAUAGUUCUUCCCCUCCCUCCCCCAUCUCUUGAGAGUUAAUAGAAUAAAAUGGUAAAAUUGACCAAUUUUCUAUGAAAUUGUUUAAUGCAAUGUAUUAUGCAUUUAAUUGGUGAAGUUGUGUUUGGAAUAGUUUUGCUGUGCCUAUGAUUGAUUCCCAAUUAUUGUUUCUUCACAUAGAUUCGUGAUACUAGUGUACUAGUGAGGUUGCGGCCUGCUUGGGAGGAUUUACGAUGCUAUUUAACUGCAAGAGGACGCAAGCGGUUUGAAGUGUAUGUUUGUACUAUGGCUGAAAGGGAUUAUGCCUUGGAAAUGUGGAGGCUUCUUGACCCAGGGGCACAUCUUAUAGGUUCAAAGCAAGUCUUUGAUCGGGUUAUUUGUGUUAAAUCAGGUACAAUUCAUAUUAUUUCCUUAGUGUUUGUAACUUUGAUGUUUUUUAGAUGAUUUGAAGUUGAAUUGAACUUAAAUUGAAAUCUUAUCAACAUUUUGAAUACAAUUUUUUCUAUAGGGUAUUGUUGGUUUUUGUAACAAAUACAAGCUGUGUAAGUUUGUUGGUCUAGCUACCAUGUUUUAUUAUGUAAUGUUGUUAUUCUCAUAAUGGUUUAGUUUAUUCUUGUUGUUGUUCGUGUCCUUAUAGAGUAAUUUGCAGGUUCUCGAAAAUCUUUACUAAAUGUUUUUCACGAUGGUAUGUGCCAUCCAAAAAUGGCAAUGGUGAUUGAUGACCGUUCAAAGGUUUGGGAGGACAAGGACCAGCCAAGGGUUCAUGUGGUUCCUGCAUUUACUCCUUACUAUGCUCCUCAAGCAGAGGUACUGGCUUACAUAUAUUAUUUGCAAAAAAAUACAUCUUCUCUAACUAUUAUUGAUUGAUAAUUCAGUAUUGUUUUUUUUUUUCUUCCAUUAGACAGCCAAUGCUGUCCCAGUCCUAUGUGUAGCGAGAAAUGUUGCAUGCAAUGUCAGGGGUUGUUUUUUCAAGUAAGUUUAGCAAUCAAGUAUUUUAUUGGCUCAAAUAUUCUUCUCUUUAUGCCUUUAAUUUAUUGUCCAUGUGCUCAGAGAGUUUGAUGAGAACUUUUUACAAAGAAUUGCUGAAGUCUUCUUUGAAGAUGAGGUUGGAAGUUUGCCUCACCCUCCGGAUGUGAGCAGCUACUUGAUGUCUGAGGUAUUGGAUUGGAAUAGACGUGAUUCUUAAAUUCACUGAUGAUCAUUAACUCAUCUGUAGUUAUGUGUUAUCGUUUUGACACUGUAGAUUCUUGUUUAUCUGCUGGUUUAAUACUGGCUUAUCUACUGGAUGACAGGAGGUGCCAAAUGGUAAUGGACAAGCUAAUGCCCCCAUCAGUGAAGGAAUUGGCGGCACAGAGGUUGAGCGUAGGUUAAACCAACCUGUAAGUGCACGUCUGAUUCAACGUUGACAAUGGACAUUUAUGAACAAAUUAUGUUUUCUCGCAAAAUGGAAUUUAAUUUUUUGUUUGGUUUAUUGUUUCUUUUAGCCAAACUAGGGCUGGCUCCAAAGUUUGGUUGACAUGGUAGUAACAGGCUUGUUAAUUAGCAUUGUCCAAUCAAAUUUCAUUUUUACAAUAUGUUUUUAAAAAGUACCCAGACAUACUCAUGCCAUAGCAAAACCACUUUUUUGCAAAAUUUGGUGUAAUUAAGCUUAAGUUUGCAACUUCAAUUGAAACAGACUCAAAGUUUCCAUGUUUUUUGAAGUGUUACUUGCAAUCUCUUUUAUAGGAACAUUUUCUCAAACUUUCUAGCAAAUCUUGGUGGGGUAUUUCUUAUGUUGUGUGUAUGUGAUGAGUGUUCAAGCCCAUACUAUUUUAUGUGCGUGGAACAUUUGUAGAUAGUAAAAUAGUCCUAGCAUUUUUUAUAUGUUAUUCUUUUCAGGAUGAUAAGCUUUCUGCUGAUUUAGUCAGUCGGCCCAUGGCAAAUAGUGUUGAGUUCAGGCAUGAAACCUCUCAGUCAACUGCUGGCAUAGUUCCAAAUGUCACUGGUCCUGGAUCAUCAAGGCCCUUGAUUCCUUCUCAGAGUACUGGACAAUAUUUUAUGUUGUUUGGAUUUCCAUAUUGCAGUUUUGAAAGUUUAAGCUAUCUUUUAAUGUUUGUUACCUUUCCCAACCUUGUUUCAGAACCAGGUCUGCUGGGACCUCCAGUCAAACACGACGGAAGUUUUAUUGAUCGUGAUUAUGACAUGAAAAAAGGAAUAUUAAAUAUGAGGCAUAGUCCUGAUAUAAGAGGUCAAAGUUCAGCUGAACCCCCUCUGAUAUCGAGGCCACCUGUUCCUGCAUACGGAAGCUGGUUGGUAGAAGAUGAUAUAAGCAACAGAACUCAGACAAAUAAUUGGCCUUUUGCACCUGCUAAAGAAUCUAAUGUGGUAAAGUCUGAAAAGCAUCAGGCUCAACAAAAACAAUUUUCUCAUAAAAUGGAAGUUCCAGUUUCCAAUGUGCCACUCUCACAAACACCACAACUUAAGGCUGAAGAGGUUUGUAGAUGAAUGAUACGUGGCUUCCCAUUUCUGACAAUGAAAGUGUUGUUUUGAGUCCUGAACUUUCCUGUUCUGAAAAUGUUGUUUAUAUGCAGGCAACUUCUGUAUCUGAUUUUCGGAGGCAGAAUAUUCCAACUAAGUUGCAUUUAUCAGGUAUAACUUAAUACUUAUUUUCGUAACAUAUACUGUUAUUAACAUAUACUAAGUCUUGAAUCUUAUAUAAUACUGUUAUUAGCAACGACAAACUAAGUGAAUGUUAAUAGAGUAAUGGGUCAUGGGUGGUUUACUUUGGCUUUAAGAUAGAUUUACAUGAUUAUUUAAUGGGUUUGGCCUAGGAAUUAGUGAAGUUUAGAUGUAUUUUUAAAAAAACUCAAGUGCUAAAUCUGAAACAGCAUUUAGUUUAAUAUUUUUCUGGUCUUUUGCUCUAUUUCACCUUUUUGAUCUUUCCCGUAUUCUUAUUUCAUCUUUUGUAAUGUAAAUGAUGCAGGAGCAACACCCUUUACUUUUUGUUUGCUUUGUUUUGACUAUAUUUUAUGCAGUCACCUGAACUGUAUACACUUUUUUUCAAUGAGGUUGAGACCUCAAAGGCACCAUUUUGCUAACAGGGUUAGAAUAGAACAGAACAUAAAUAACCGAGGAGGCACGGAUUUUGUUCAUUUGUACGAGAUUUACCCCCGCUCCCAUUCUUAAUUUCAUGUAAUUUUAGAAUUUUAAAGUUGUCUUACUGAACUUUCCAAUCAUUUCGCUAUCUAGUUUGAAGAGCUGGAGAAGUGUAGAUAGUUUUGUACAAACUUGUUUUUAAAUUUCUCAUUAGCAUUUUAUUUUAAUCUACUGGCUAUAAUCUUUGAUGUUUUGUGUUUUGUUAUGGACAGAACAUAAAUAACUGAGGAGGCAUGAAUUUUACUCAUUUAUAUGCGAUCUUACCCUGUUCCCGUUCUUAAUUUCAUGUGAUUUUAGAAUUUGAAAGUUGUCUUACUGAAUUUUCCAAAAAUUUCUCUAUCUGGUUUUGAAGAGCUGGAGAAGUGUACACAAUUUUGUACAAGCUUGUUUUUAAAAUUCUCAUUAGUAUUUUAUUUUCAUCUACUUUCUAGAAUCAUUGAUGUAUUGUGUUUUGUUAUGGGCCAAAAUCUUUACAGAGAGUACAAUAUCUCUGAAUCAUGCAUCUUCUAAUAGCAAAGAUUUUCAAAAUGAAGUUGGAAAAUUGAACUUUGUACCAUCUCUGUCUAUUGGAGUGCUGCAAGAAAUUGGGAGGCGGUGUUGCUCUAAGGUAUUCAUGGUUUCUCCUCAAGUGAGCAUUUAUUUCCUCUGUUUCUACUGAAGUGCAUUUUUAUGUAUUCCUUUUAUUAGGUUGAAUUUAAGUCAAUUGUAAGCACCAGCAAAGAUUUGCAGUUUUCAGUGGAGGUAAGUGAAAGUUGUUCUAUUAAAUAUUAUAUAUGAGUUUUUACAUGUCAUUGUUAACUAUCUUGGAUUAUGUAGUAUGUGAUGUGUUAUCUAAGAUGCAUUACUGAUUGGUGAUUUUUUAAACUGUAAGAAAUUUUUAUGUUGUAAUUUGUAGAUUACUGAUAUCAAGGUCUGUUUUCUAUUUGGCUUUAUCUCACAUAAUUUAGUUUAGAUGCUUUCUUGGUUUUGUACUUAAAGAAACUUAUCAUGAACUGCCUGGCUAUUUAUUGUUCAAUGUCAUUUCCCAGUUCUUCUAUCAUCUAUCAUCAUCUUAAAUGCUAUUGGCUUUGCACUCAAUUUCCUGUGAAGAUGUUAUUGUGGCCUAAUAGUUUGCGCUGCCACUUUUGGUUGCCAUUGCUAUUCAUAUUUGCAUGUUUAUGUGUUUAACCUUUGUGGGCAAAGUUGUUGUCACAUUUUACUCGAGUCUGAAAUAACCUUAGCCUUAGGUCUGGUCUUCUGUUUUAUACUUAUAACCUGUGCUGUAAAUUGUCUGAUGCUUUGUUUUAGGUACUAUUCACUGGUGAGAAAAUAGGCUUUGGUAUGGGUAGGACAAGGAAGGAUGCUCAACAACAAGCUGCCGAGAAUGCCCUUCGCAGCUUAGCAGGUAUGGCAAAUUAUUUUAAGCUGUUCUAAAAUUGUGUUUGUGAUAUUGUUUUGUAGUAAUGAAGAUAAAAUUAAUGGAACUUAGGUUAUAUUUAUAAUUCUUUCAAACAAUUAUGUAUUUAUUAACUGUUGCUGCAUUUGGUGUUGGGACAUUAUUUCUUGUUAUUUAUAAUUUUUUCAUGCAUAGAAUUUUCUUUUUCAUUUUUGGUGGGAGAUAGCAUUUCCAUGGUGACAUGCAUCUGAAUAUGCCCUUGCAGCACUUUGUAUACAUGUAGAUUAUUAUCCUAGUUUCUGUGUCGGGAUUCUAUGAAGUUGUACCUAUUGAAGCAUUUUAAGCUUAACAAAUAAACAUUUUAUAGCGAGUUCAAAUUGAAGAAUAGCCGUGGUUAACUGUAUUUCAGUUUGUUAUUUAUUUAUGCACUAAAUCUUUCUCCGUGAGUAAACCCAAUGUUAUUGUGUAUGUGGAGGUAAAUAUUGUUUUUGUAAUUUGUUGUGUGGGCUUGAGGAAACAUUUCUCUACAUGGUUCAGAUGACUAGUGGAUAUGUGCAUGUUGCUUGCUUGAUGAAAUUAGUUUGUUUUAAUUCAAUUUAUUGUGCUACAUUAAUCUUCUUUUUAGCCUGUUCUUUACUGAACCUAUAUUAAACUGCUAAAUGCAUUUUCGGUGUAUGAAAUACAGAGAAGUAUGUAACACAUAUGGAGCCUCAAUGUAAAGCUGUUGAUAAAGAAUUUGACAAGCUUUCUCUUGAACAUGAAAAUGGUUUCUUGUGGGAUGUGGUCGAUGCGGAGUCCAGUGAACUGCAAAGAGAAGAUGGAUUACCAAGAGAAAGUGCUUCUGAGGUGGGGACUUUUUAUGCUUUUGGUAGUUGAUUUGUGUGACCUGUUUUGAUUAAGGGAAUAGGUGAUGCUUGGAUAAGGGGUAAUGUGGACUAGAUAUUCCAGAUCGUUUAUGGAAUUGUGUAGCAUCAAUGUGAAGACUAAAUUACUGAAUGAGGAGUGAACUCGCUUCACGUCUGCUACUGCUGUCUUAGACAGGCUUCUUAAAUUCCUACUUAAAAGGUAUGGGCUUGGUGUCAGUCCUGAUAAUUUACCCGUUAUCCAAGUACUCCCUUGCAGUCAUUUCAGCCAUAAUGCUGUUGCAUACUUCUUAAUCAUUGUUGCUUAGGAACCUUUUUUUUACUGAGUUUAUGCUCUGGGUUUAAUUAUUCUCAUAACAGUGGUUUGAGGGAGGGGCUAGUCUUGGAAUUUUUACAGAAUCAAAUAAUUGGUACUGCAAGACUCACUUAUAUUGGUCGGUUUUGGAAUAUUUCAUUGUGGUCUGCUGCAUAGAGGACUACUAGGGACAUACUAUGUAACACAUAUUCCAACAUACUCUCUUCCAUUAGUUAAAAAUCAUAUGGGUCCCACUGAAUUUACAUGGGACCCACAUAAUUUGGUAGGAUCCGAAUUAAUUUCAAUAAAUAGAAGAAAGUAUAUUUAGAUGUGUGUUAGAGAGUGUUCCUAGUAUUAUUGUUGUAUAUUCUAUCUUUGGUAAAAGGUUGAUCUACCUUGUGACAAUUCACUGAUUUUCAGGCUCCAGAUGCCGAGACCCGGCCAUUAAAUCCCAAUCCCAUCACUCAGCAAAUGGAUAAACGUGCUAGCUUCCCAAGGUAACAUAAGCUACAUUUAUUUAUCUUGUUUUCUUUAGGGAAAAAAGAGGGUAUUUUUUUUUCUUGUAUAGGGUAAUAAAGGGAGCACACUUGCUUUUAGCUUAGGUUUGAUCUAUCUAGGAUUGACUUUUUGUCCAUAUUUUUGGCCUCACGUUUUAUCUCUCUACAUUCAUGGUUAUUUUCUUCUUGCCAUAGGUAGCAUGACUUUAAAAUUUUAUAUUUCCUAAAUCUUGAUCUAUAUUUUUUUCUAGAAUGGUUCAUUAUGAUCUGUUAGACAAAUGCUACUACAACAGUUUGAGUCCUUGCCUCCAUCCAAAAGGAAAACCAUUGUUCAAUUUUUCCCGUUUUGUUAGACCACUAACUUUAACUAUAGGAGUGAAUGUGAGUAUUACAUAUACAAGGGGUCUGUGCUUAGUUUUCUUAAUUUUAAUUUCAGAACGCAUCAGUCUGUUCAUAGCAAACGAAUGAAGGAAUGAAAAUGCAGCUAGAUGAACAAGAACAACCAUCAUUGCAGCAACCGAAAAAUGUGAUAUUCGUGAGACGACAUUUUGGGGGCAAAAUGUUUUAAUCCAUGUCCUUUGUUCAUGUAAAACCUCUAGCCUAGUGGUUUUAGAUAUACUGAGGGGAUUUCCCCCCUGCUAAUUUAUGUUAUAUCAUAGAGAAGGGCAUUGUUUUUUGCCCGACCAUUUUUCCAUGUUGUCAGGCUAGCCACAUUUUCAAUGUUGUCUGGCUAGCCACAUUUUCAAUGUUGUAUUAGAUCGACUGUGUUGCUUUUCUUUUUCUUUGUAGUUGAUCCAUUACUGAUCUACAACGAUGGUUGAAUUUGUCUUGCUUCUAGGCUGAAGCUCCAUAUUGUAUUGUAGCUUUUGCAGUCACAGGUCAUCCACUGUGAAACCAGCCAAACCAACAUGUUAUUAAUCAGUUUCCUCUGAGUCAGUUGUUAGGAAUAUACUGACAUUGGGAAAAAUUUCAACGGGAUUAUUGUUGUCAAAUUCUGACAUUAUUCAUUUAGGGUUGUUUGGAUCGGUGGUAUGUGAUGAAAUGAAGUGGUAAAUAAAUAUUGUUUAGAUUUGCAUUCUCCAUUUUUUUUAAAAUUUCAUUUGAUUUGGAGUGUAUGCAAUAGAAUGAAACAUUAUUAAUGAAAUACCCAAAUAAUAGAGGGAAAUUUAUAUACCCAAAUAAUAGAGGGAAAUUUAU
rnacentral:lncRNA from 1 species